rnacentral:rRNA from 1 species
GAUGGACCCGCGUCUGAUUAGCUGGUUGGUAGGGUAAAGGCCUACCAAGGCGACGAUCAGUAGCCGACCUGAGAGGGUGACCGGCCACAUUGGGACUGAGACACGGCCCAAACUCCUACGGGAGGCAGCAGUGGGGAAUAUUGCACAAUGGGCGAAAGCCUGAUGCAGCGACGCCGCGUGAGUGAAGAAGUAUUUCGGUAUGUAAAGCUCUAUCAGCAGGGAAGAAAAUGACGGUACCUGACUAAGAAGCCCCGGCUAACUACGUGCCAGCAGCCGCGGUAAUACGUAGGGGGCAAGCGUUAUCCGGAUUUACUGGGUGUAAAGGGAGCGUAGACGGCAAUGCAAGUCUGGAGUGAAAACCCAGGGCUCAACCCUGGGACUGCUUUGGAAACUGCGUAGCUGGAGUGUUGGAGAGGUAAGUGGAAUUCCUAGUGUAGCGGUGAAAUGCGUAAAUAUUAGGAGGAACACCAGUGGCGAAGGCGACUUACUGGACAAUAACUGACGUUGAGGCUCGAAAGCGUGGGGAGCAAACAGGAUUAGAUACCCUG